GACACAUUUCAUUAGUACAUGUGGAGAAGCCACUGUGAGUGUUUGUUCCUGCUUUUCUAGUUAUUCUCUGGGGCCAGGACCGGCCAAGGCCUGAGCAUGCUAUCCAUGGUGUUAUGUGUCUUUUUCUAGCAGGAGGUUCAGUGUUGGCCUCUCUCCACCUCACUCCUGCUGAGCACUGCUAAGCAUCAUGGGGAACCUUCUGAUUCUGUGGUUCAGACAGCAAGUUCAUUUAGCCCUCAUUUAUCAUUAUUAACAAAAAUGGAGGAUUGAAAUCACAUCAUUUGCAUGAAAACGGGUGGAACCGGAGAGGAUGUUAAGCAAAAUGAGCCCAUCUUAGAAGGACAAACGGCACGUGUUUUUUCUUAUAAGCGGAGCCUAGGUUUUUAUGUUCAUGCGCCUAUGCACAGAAGACAAAGCAAAGUGGGGGCUGCCUGGAUGGGGAAAGGGCCAGCAAGACGAGAGGGACAUGCGGACAGGGGAGCAUGAUACAGCGGCUCGCACGCUUGAGAGCCUUGCAAUGAACUCGUUCUUCUCCGUUUCCUUCCUGGCAACGCUCUGUGCCUGUUGGUCAGUUUGACAGAGACUGCUCAGCUCUUGGAACGGCUUCCAUCUCCAAGCAGCAGACGGUCAGGUUCUCGGCCACCUACGCCCAGCGAGCAAGCUCACCCAUCCUCGGUGUCCAUUCACAUUUUUCUGCUUUCCACGGCGCUGCCACCAAGAUGAGUAGGGACUGAGUCAAAUGGAAGAAGGGACGUUACUUCCCUCUUAACAGUUUCACACGGUAAACCUGAGAGGGAAGCCACAUCAAAAAGGGUGUCUGCUGCCACACUUGGGUGACCACUGUACACAUGAGUCGGUUCAAGUCAGGACUUCCUUUCCACGGGGGAGGUUUCCACUCACAGAGGUACCUGUGGUAGCGUGUAAGAUGUCAUGACACGGUACCACACGGUAACACCAUCUCCUGUUGACAAAUCAAUUCUGGGCCUAAAGAAAACUUGUCUAGUCAGUGACCAGAGUACAGAAUCCAAGCAAGUAAAAGCCAUAGAUCCAAA